rnacentral:rRNA from 1 species
GACGAACGCUGGCGGCGUGCUUAACACAUGCAAGUCGAGCGGUAAGGCCCUUUCGGGGGUACACGAGCGGCGAACGGGUGAGUAACACGUGGGUGACCUGCCCUCAGCUCUGGGAUAAGCCCGGGAAACUGGGUCUAAUACUGGAUAUGACUCCAUGACGCAUGUUGUGGGGUGGAAAGCCUUGUGCGGCUGAGGAUGGGCCCGCGGCCUAUCAGCUUGUUGGUGGGGGNGAU